GACGAACGCUGGCGGCGUGCUUAACACAUGCAAGUCGAACGGAAAGGCCCUGCUUGCAGGGUACUCGAGUGGCGAACGGGUGAGUAACACGUGGGUGAUCUGCCCUGCACUUCGGGAUAAGCCUGGGAAACUGGGUCUAAUACCGGAUAGGAGCCAUUUUUAGUGUGAUGGUUGGAAAGUUUUUUCGGUGUAGGAUGAGCUCGCGGCCUAUCAGCUUGUUGGUGGGGUAAUGGCCUACCAAGGCGGCGACGGGUAGCCGGCCUGAGAGGGUGGACGGCCACAUUGGGACUGAGAUACGGCCCAGACUCCUACGGGAGGCAGCAGUGGGGAAUAUUGCACAAUGGGCGCAAGCCUGAUGCAGCGACGCCGCGUGGGGGAUGACGGCCUUCGGGUUGUAAACUCCUUUCGCCAGGGACGAAGCUUUUUGUGACGGUACCUAGAGAAGAAGCACCGGCUAACUACGUG
rnacentral:rRNA from 1 species